rnacentral:lncRNA from 1 species
UACCCUCUUGUGCUCUCUGCUCAAUUGUAUUCAGUCAUUUGUGUCUUCGUGCUCGCCGUGAUCUGAUGGGGUGUUGCUCGCAUAGGCUUAGUUGCAGCAAGUUGCUAUCGGUUAGCCUUCUGCUUCCUGCUACAGCAGCUGCUUGCCGCAACGCAGAGCUCAGAGAUCUCUUAGCUGUGGCGUCUUACUUCGGGCAUAGCUGGUGAGAGGUCAGAGAUUCGUUCCCGUGAUGUCUUGCGUGCCGAGUUGCUGUGAGGCGAGGGGGAAGGUUGAUUAGCGAGUGCAUGAUUUGCGUCGGCGUGAUGCCGUUGUGGGAUGAGAGGUUUGUUUGCAUAAGAUUUUGGCCUAUCUUUUGUUCGGAAUACCUGGAUUUGAGUCGUGCCUGGCACGAGGACUGCGCCCUAGAUCUAAUUAAAGGUGUCUUACUUGAGCACUAGACAUUUGUUUACUCUCAGCUCUGUCAGCACGCUCAGUUGGUAGUCUCGUCAGAUUUAAACAAGUUCCUUGUUUCAGGGAUAUUGAUAUGCAGCCCAUAGCCAUCAGGUUUACUGAUAAAUUUAGAAUCAGGCCAGCCGAAGUGAAGUCUAAUUACCUAUAUAUCUGUUUCACGGUGGAAACUAUUCACCUCCUACUGUUACUGGUUCUUCAUGUGGGAGCUUUGAAUUUGGUAUAUAUACUAUGCCACUAGAAUAGUCACAGAAAUGAUGUUGGUGCUUCAUAAUGGAGCCACCUGAUUUUGUUGUAUGCCAUAGCCUAGAUGUUGCAUAUUCUUUUUUGUGUGAACAUGUAAUUCAUACUACAUACAAGAGUUAUAUGCAUGUAUUCAACAUCUUUGUUCAACAUAUAAACAGGUAUUAGCAAGAUAUACAACCUACCAAUACCAUUAUGUUGCCACAAAUACAAUAUUGACGUGGCAAUCAGACCAUAAACAUGUGCAAUGAUACAAGAUAGGCAGUGCGGUGAAUGUAAGUACAGUAGAUUUCAUAAAGAACAUGCCACAAUAAAUAGAGUACAUCCUGAAACAUGAUAAAAUUCAUACUACAUACAAGAGUUAUAUGCAUGUAUUUGUUCAUAUGCUUUUAUUUCCUAUGUGCUUUUAAUUAAAUCAGAUCAAUUCUUCUGAUUUCAUUCCGACCAGAAACUUGUGAAUGUGUUAUUAUAAUUGCCUGCUUUUAAUGCACUUGGACAUAGUGGCAUAUGUGGUUCCACUUUGUACCUGGCACUUGCUCUAUGCUACAAUUUGCCCAUGUUAUGUUUUUACUGCAACUCAUGCCUUGUUUUCAUAAAUUUAUUUUCUUACUAUGUAUUUGCAAGUUAAAUGUUUUCUCUUGCAGAUGGUAAGACAUUCAAGAAACCAAGGCGUCCUUAUGAGAAGGAGCGUCUUGAUGCAGAACUAAAGCUGGUCGGUGAAUAUGGACUGAGGUGCAAGCGUGAGCUCUGGAGGGUUCAGUAUGCACUGAGCAGGAUUCGUAAUGCUGCAAGACACUUGCUCACACUGGAUGAGAAAAAUCCCCGCCGUAUCUUUGAGGGCGCGGCCCUUCUCCGUCGCAUGAACCGCUAUGGUCUCCUUGCUGAGGGCCAGGAUAAGCUUGAUUACGUCCUUGCCCUGACUGCUGAGAACUUCCUUGCAAGGCGCCUUCAGACUCUUGUCUUCAAGGCUGGCAUGGCAAAAUCCAUCCACCAUGCCCGUGUCUUGAUCAGGCAACGCCACAUCAGGUAUGCUUCUGGUAUAUUUUUCUUGCAAUGCAUGUUUUGGCAUAUGGUUCCAUAAAUUUGCAUGUUGAUCUAGAAAUCUAAAUGGUUUGCACUAGUUGUUUAAUACAGGCUACCUGAUACUGGUCUGUUACUGGUUAUUACAUGCAUCUAUGAAUUACAUGUUGGCCUGAUACUGGUUACAUGCAUGUCUGAAUUUUAUCAUCUUUCAGGAUGUACUCUAUUUAUUGUGGCAUGUUCUUUAUGAAAUCUACUGUACUUACAUUCACCGCACUGCCUAUCUUGUAUCAUUGCACAUGUUUAUGGUCUGAUUGCCACGUCAAUAUUGUAUUUGUGGCAACAUAAUGGUAUUGGUAGGUUGUAUAUCUUGCUAAGAUGUUGAACCUGUUUUCUGUAACUGAGAUUAUGUCAAUAUUGUUAGUCUUUGCUUCUUGUGUUAUACUGGUUGUGGUCUGGUAUAUAUGUGGCAUUUGCUUUGAGUUUUCAUUGUGAAGUGAUAUUUUCCAUGAAUAUUCCUGCUUGUUCACUUUGUGAAUGAAGUGUUAAAAUAAUUUUCUUGAAACCAUAUUGCAGGGUUGGCAGGCAGAUCGUCAAUGUCCCCUCGUUCAUGGUGAGGGUUGAAUCUGAGAAGCACAUCGACUUCUCACUGACAAGUCCAUUCGGUGGAGGCCCUGCAGGCAGGGUGAAGAGAAAGAACCAGAAGAAGGCAAGUGGUGGCGGUGACGCCGGUGGUGACGAGGAAGAGGAAUGAGGAACUAGUAGCUAUCACCUUAUAUUUAUCAAAUGUUGGUGUUAUGAGUACUUUAGCUGAGAGGCCUGAGACUUUCAUGGGUUAUCCUCUUGUCAUUUUGUCACUUUAUCACUGUUGUUAGCAUGUAUGCACUGCUUUAUGUUUGGAGCUAUUUGGUCGUGAUGAAAGUUAUCUAAAAAUGUUCUUGACUAUGACCUGGAAUCCUCCUUCAAUUGCUUCUGUUGGGGUGGUUGUCUGAUAGUUCAUAGGAAUCAACCUUUCUUUUCGAGUAAAUGAAUUACUUUGAUGAUCCAUUUGCUGGUUCAUAGGAAUCAACCUUUCUUUUCGAGUAAAUGAAUUACUUUGAUGAUCUAUUUGCUGGUUUGUUUCCACGAGUUGUCCACUCCAGCGGGGAUCAAUA